rnacentral:rRNA from 1 species
UCUCUUUACCCUCCUACGGGGAAGCAGCAGUAGGGAAUCUUCCACAAUGGACGCAAGUCUGAUGGAGCAACGCCGCGUGAGUGAAGAAGGUUUUCGGAUCGUAAAGCUCUGUUGUUGGUGAAGAAGGAUAGAGGCAGUAACUGGUCUUUAUUUGACGGUAAUCAACCAGAAAGUCACGGCUAACUACGUGCCAGCAGCCGCGGUAAUACGUAGGUGGCAAGCGUUGUCCGGAUUUAUUGGGCGUAAAGCGAGCGCAGGCGGAAUGAUAAGUCUGAUGUGAAAGCCCACGGCUCAACCGUGGAACUGCAUCGGAAACUGUCAUUCUUGAGUGCAGAAGAGGAGAGUGGAAUUCCAUGUGUAGCGGUGGAAUGCGUAGAUAUAUGGAAGAACACCAGUGGCGAAGGCGGCUCUCUGGUCUGCAACUGACGCUGAGGCUCGAAAGCAUGGGUAGCGAACAGGAUUAGAUACCCUGGUAGUCCAUGCCGUAAACGAUGAGCGCUAGGUGUUGGGGACUUUCCGGUCCUCAGUGCCGCAGCAAACGCAUUAAGCGCUCCGCCUGGGAAGAACCCCCCAAG